GAUGUUGCAUGACAUUUGCUUAAAAGGUGCAAUUGCAUCACUACCAGAUGGACCUGCGUUGUAUUAGCUAGUUGGUGGGGUAACGGCUCACCAAGGCGACGAUACAUAGCCGACCUGAGAGGGUGAUCGGCCACACUGGGACUGAGACACGGCCCAGACUCCUACGGGAGGCAGCAGUAGGGAAUCUUCGGCAAUGGACGGAAGUCUGACCGAGCAACGCCGCGUGAGUGAAGAAGGUUUUCGGAUCGUAAAGCUCUGUUGUAAGAGAAGAACGAGUGUGAGAGUGGAAAGUUCACACUGUGACGGUAUCUUACCAGAAAGGGACGGCUAACUACGUGCCA
rnacentral:rRNA from 1 species